UACGAAGGGGGCUAGCGUUGUUCGGAUUUACUGGGCGUAAAGCGCACGUAGGCGGAUCGAUCAGUCAGGGGUGAAAUCCCAGAGCUCAACUCUGGAACUGCCUUUGAUACUGUCGAUCUGGAGUAUGGAAGAGGUGAGUGGAAUUCCGAGUGUAGAGGUGAAAUUCGUAGAUAUUCGGAGGAACACCAGUGGCGUAGGCGGCUCACUGGUCCAUUACUGACGCUGAGGUGCGAAAGCGUGGGGAGCAAACAGG
rnacentral:rRNA from 1 species